rnacentral:misc_RNA from 1 species
UUUCCGUAGGUGAACCUGCGGAAGGAUCAUUAUUGUAUAACCGAGGUGCGAGGCCUUUGUCUGCCCCGAAAUGUCGUGCACGCCCGAGUGCCCUCACACACAUCCAUCUCACCCCUAUGUGCACCACCGCGUGGGUCCCCCUUUGGCUUGUUCGGAGGUGGGCUUACGUUUUCACACAAACUUUGUAUGCAGUGUAGAAUGUAUUUUUUGUUUUUGCGAUCACGCAAUCAAUACAACUUUCAACAACGGAUCUCUUGGCUCUC